rnacentral:tRNA from 3 species
GCGGGAUUAGUUUAAUGGCAGAAUAAGAGUUUUCCAAACUCUGGACGGGGGUUCGAUUCCCCCAUCCCGCACAA